GGAGAUCUCAUUAUGAUGGGUGCGAUCAUACCAGCCUUAACGCACCAGAUCCCAUCAGAACUUUGCAGUUAAGCAGGCUUGGGUCAAAGCAGUACUGGGAUGGGUGACCUCCUGGGA
rnacentral:rRNA from 1 species